GAUGAACGCUGGCGGCGUGCUUAACACAUGCAAGUCGAACGGAGCGCUUUUGAUAGAGACUUCGGUCAAUGGAUAAAGUUGCUUAGUGGCGGACUGGUGAGUAACGCGUGAGGAACCUGCCUUUCAGAGGGGGACAACAGUUGGAAACGACUGCUAAUACCGCAUGACACAUUCGGGCGGCAUCGCCUGGAUGUCAAAGAUUUUAUCGCUGAAAGAUGGCCUCGCGUCUGAUUAGAUAGUUGGCGGGGUAACGGCCCACCAAGUCGACGAUCAGUAGCCGGACUGAGAGGUUGACCGGCCACAUUGGGACUGAGAUACGGCCCAG
rnacentral:rRNA from 1 species